GCACCGAUGAAGAGUCCCAAACUAUUGGGACGAAACGGCUGUCCAGUAC
rnacentral:hammerhead_ribozyme from 1 species